CCCGGCGGGUGGGGGCGGGGCGCCGCCCCGGGGGCUGGCUCGGGGCACCGCGGGCCUCCCGUUUCCUCAUUCUUGCCCCGCCGCCGUCGCCUCCCCUUCCUGCCAGGUGCUCCGGGACGUGGCUGGAGCCCAGAGGUGAAGAAACUGAGGCCCAGAAAGGUGCUAGCAGCAGUAGUGAUCUCAUGUGAUUAUAUCUACUUGGUGGGUCCUGAUUCCAGAACUCUUGCUGCAAGGGAAGAUUCUGGGAUCUGAGACAGCUGCAUGGAGAGAUGGUAGAUGAAAUGAGCUGGAGAGUAUAUUUCGAAUUUGGACAUGGUCAGGAAAGAAAAGAAAGUUUCCUCAGACUGUUCCAAAACACUGUAUUUUUUACAGAAGAGCCUCAGAAGCUGCUGCCCUCAGGAUUUAGGAUCUGUUGCAAGAUCCUCUUCCCUGAGAGGGGCCUGACAAGAGCCUAGCAAGAUUACAACCCCCAGGAACUGAUACCAACUCAGAUCCAGAGAAUGAGACCAUCAAGGAUUCACUUACCACAAAUGGACAUCUGGAUAGAUGCAGACCAAGGGAAUAAGACCAAAGUGCACUUGACUAAAGUGGGCCAGGAGUCUUGUGUCUUCUGCUAACAUCCAUGAAAUUGUGGCAUGCUGACUUGUUUGUUUGCAAAUAGGAUAUGUGAGGUCUCAACAGAGUUACUGCCCCUACAUCCUUUUUCAAAGAAAAAAAUAUGGAAGGAUAUGCUUCAUGAAAAUGACACAAGAAUCCAUUAGCAAUAUUAGGCUGGACACUUUCUGUAAUCCCUCAUAUCUCCUCACACCUUGGUGGGCUCUCACUAUUUAAGGUAAGAUCUUAGGAUCUUAGUAUCUAAGGAAUUAUUAUUGAUAAUUUAGCAGGAGGAAUAUCUCUUCACAUUUGUGUUGAUUUAACUUUGCAUUUGCUAGAAUUACCUCCUAUGCAUAUUUAAGGGAUUUGUUCCUGGCUUGUCCAUAAGACAUGCUUCAGGAGCUGUUAUUGAAAUUUAUAUAAUGCUAAAUUUGGUUGAAAAGUAAGCAAACUGAAUUUCGAAUAAGGUCUCCCUUUUGGAUGGCAGUGCUUUUAUUCUCUUCUCACUGGGAUGUAUGCUUGAAUUCAGUGUGUAUCGUACUUGCCUCAGUUGUAAAGAAGAGAGAGAACGAUUUACUUCCAACUGUUUUUUUUUUUAUAUUCACUAUUACAGUCUCAGUUGGAUGAUUUCUGUUAACACCAUCAACUGUUGCCUUGAACUCUGAAGGUUAUAGGGAGAUGAGCUGGUCAGGAGUUUGGACGAACAGGUUUAAUGGAGCUUAGUGGUACACCAUUUUUCUGAAGAAGCAUAUGCCUGCACCCUGAAUCAGUCCUCCAAGAUUAAAUGAGUUUAGAUAACAAUCAGGUAUUUUCCCACUAGCUUGCAAACCAUCUUUUUGUCCCCCUGAUAUUUUAAUGGCCGCCCCCCAGCCAUUGUCAAGUGUUUCUUAUUAUUUCCCUGCUGGGCUCCUUCAGCACUACAGUUACUGCAGGGUCAAUCAUUCAGUCAUUCACCAUUUUUUGUCUUCUCCCUGUGUGUCAGGCACUGUGCUUGGUGCUGCAUACUGGAUGCUGAGGUAAACAAGUUCUCUGCUCUCAUGGGACUUCAAUUCUGUUGGGGAAGACAAAUUAUAGGGACAAAUAAUUUUAAGUAAUGAUAGACUAAAAAAAAAAGGUGAGAGACAUAAUGUCUAAAUGAGAGGCUGCUUUAAAUAGGGGAGUUCAGGAAUGGCAUCUCUGAGGAAGCACCAUAUGAGUGAGCAGAGACCUGAAUGAGAAGCAGGAGCCAGCCAUAUGAGGAUCUGGGGAAACAUAAAACUUAGUCUGGCUUAACCAAGCAGUACCAUGUGCUUGGUUAAGAGGUAAGCAUCAUUGAUUUAAGGAACUAGUUACUAGAUUGGGGUGAGUGGAGAGCCUGCAGUUAAUAUGGGUUUAAAAGCAUAAACAACCACAAACGGGUUUUCAUACCCUUAGGAAAAAAAGGCAGUAGUGAGGCAAAAAACUGCGAGUCGAUUUCCUAAAUCCCUUCACUCACUCUCAGUAACAGUAUUUCUAGGUAGACCCAUAGUUUAGAAGCACCAUAUCAGCACUGCACGGUUUAUAUUUGGACUGUCAUAUGAAAGAGAAAUAAACUACAAUCUUAUUUAAUUUGCCAAUAUAUUGGAUCUUGUUAUGCAGCUGACUCUACAUGCUAACAUAGGUUAAAACAAUACAUGGGGUAACAAGAAGAUUUAAAGAAACUGUGGGAAAGGAUAAAAAGACCACCUGUAAUCCCACUUUUUGAAUACAACUAAAAAUUUGUAUAUUAUCUUCUGUGCUUCAUCCACAUGCAUGUUUUUUAUGUAAUUGUAAUGCCUUUAUGUACCAUUUGGCAUUCUGCUUCUUAAUGAUUUAAUCUUAUUUACAUAUUCUUCUUUUUGAAAAAAAGGAGGGGAGAGGAGCAGAAGAGGAGAGACUCUCAAGCAGACUCAAAGGCUAAUUUUUCUCAUACCUAUACUUACAAGGAGGAAUUUAGAUUAUUUAUUCUCUCAAAAUGGAGUGGUGUAGAGUUGGGAGAAACAAGCAAGGGAUGCUGAACAUCAAGGAAUUCUGGGGAACUACCCCUCGGUUGAAACUCAGGAAUGAACUACCAUGAGAGUGCUCAGUGAGUUUCACAAUGAAUGGAAAAAGAGCAUGUGGGCAAGUAUGCUUGUUUAGAGACUACAGUAUAUCUUGUUCAAGGUCAGCUGUUCUCAACUGAGGAUGUACACUGGAAUCACUGUGGAGACCAAAAUUGAAGAUACUGAUGCCCAAGUCCAGUUGCCAGAGAUUCUGAUUCAUUUGUCCAGGGCUGGAUCUCAGAUUUUAGCAUUUUAAAAAUGUUAUUCAGGGGAUUCUACUGAGCAGCCAGGACUGAGAACCAUCUUCUAAGAAUGAGAGAAGACUAGUGUUCUUAGGAAGAAUAAAACAGAGAGGUCAAACAUUGUGUUAAGUUUUAUUUUAUUUUAUUUAUUUUUCAUAGGUGUUAAGUCUUAUUUUAAUUCCUAAUGCAAUAAUAUUGGCAGACUAUAAAACUGGUUGUCAAGUAUCCCACAUUUAUUAAGCAAUUAACAUAAAGCUAACAGUCCAUUAUUCUCAUUAUUCUAAUGAAAAUAAAGGCAAAAUCAAGCAAUAUAACAAAAUAACAAAAAUAAGUUAGAAACACCACAUUACCCUCCUUUCUUUACUAAUUAAUAGCACAUAUGCUAGUUCCCCCAACUCUUGAGUCCACUCCUUCCCUUUUAAUUCCAUUGCUCUUACCUGAAAUCACAUCACAAUUUUUUACUUGUCUCACUGUGCAAUCUCCUCAUUGGAUUUGGUAUUUCUUUCUUCCACUUGUUCUUUCACAAAGCUUCCAGG